UCCAGACUCCUACGGGAGGCAGCAGUGGGGAAUAUUGCACAAUGGGGGAAACCCUGAUGCAGCAACGCCGCGUGAGUGAUGACGGCCUUCGGGUUGUAAAGCUCUGUCUUCAGGGACGAUAAUGACGGUACCUGAGGAGGAAGCCACGGCUAACUACGUGCCAGCAGCCGCGGUAAUACGUAGGUGGCGAGCGUUGUCCGGAAUUACUGGGCGUAAAGGGUGCGUAGGUGGUUUCUUAAGUCAGAGGUGAAAGGCUACGGCUCAACCGUAGUAAGCCUUUGAAACUGGGGAACUUGAGUGCAGGAGAGGAGAGUGGAAUUCCUAGUGUAGCGGUGAAAUGCGUAGAUAUUAGGAGGAACACCAGUUGCGAAGGCGGCUCUCUGGACUGUAACUGACACUGAGGCACGAAAGCGUGGGGAGCAAACAGGAUUAGAUACCCUAGUA
rnacentral:rRNA from 1 species